rnacentral:misc_RNA from 1 species
GAUGAAGAACGUAGCAAAAUGCGAUAAGUAGUGUGAAUUGCAGAAUUCAGUGAAUCAUCGAAUCUUUGAACGCACAUUGCGCCCGCCAGUAUUCUGGCGGGCAUGCCUGUUCGAGCGUCAUUUCAACCCUCAAGCACAGCUUGGUGUUGGGACUCGCGUUAAUUCGCGUUCCCCAAAUUGAUUGGCGGUCACGUCGAGCUUCCAUAGCGUAGUAGUAAAACCCUCGUUACUGGUAAUCGUCGCGGCCACGCCGUUAAACCCCAACUUCUGAAUGUUGACCUCGGAUCAGGUAGGAAUACCCGCUGAACUUAAGCAUAUCAAUAAGCGGAGGA